rnacentral:rRNA from 9 species
CGCAAUCAAUAGCCAAUUAAUUGUUGGCAAGUAUGAAUGGCGUAACGAAUGCCCCACUGUCUCAAGAUAAAAACCAAUGAAAUUGAAAUCGUGGUGAAGAUGCCACGUACAAAUUGUAAGACGAGAAGACCCCAUUGAGCUUUACUGGAGGCUUAUAUUGUUUUUUUUCAAGUUAAUGUGAAGAUUAUGUGGGUAUAUUAUGAAAAACCGCUCAUUAAUUAUAAAAAAACGGAUUGAGUAUACGCCGGACAGUUUGGUUGGGGCGACCGCCUUCUAAAGAGUAACGAAGGUGUACAUAAGGUAA